CUCCGGUGAUCCUGCCGGACCCGACUGCUAUCAGAGUGGGACUAAGCCAUGCGAGUCAACGUAGCAAUACGUGGCAUACGGCUCAGUAACACGUAGUCAACAUGCCCAGGGGACGAGGAUAACCUCGGGAAACUGAGGAUAAACCUCGAUAGGCCAUGAUUUCUGGAAUGAUUCUUGGCUCAAACCUAUAUGGCCCCUGGAUUGGACUGCGGCCGAUCAGGCUGUUGGUGAGGUAAUGGCCCACCAAACCUAUUACCGGUACGGGCUCUGAGAGGAGGAGCCCGGAGAUGGGCACUGAGACAAGGGCCCAGGCCCUAUGGGGCGCAGCAGGCGCGAAACCUCUGCAAUAGGCGAAAGCUUGACAGGGUUACUCUGAGUGAUUUCCGCUAAGGGAAUCUUUUGGCACCUCUAAAAAUGGUGCAGAAUAAGGGGUGGGCAAGUCUGGUGUCAGCCGCCGCGGUAAUACCAGCACCCCGAGUGGUCGGGACGUUUAUUGGGCCUAAAGCAUCCGUAGCCGGUUCUACAAGUCUUCCGUUAAAUCCACCUGCUUAACAGAUGGGCUGCGGAAGAUACUAUAGAGCUAGGAGGCGGGAGAGGCAAGCGGUACUCGAUGGGUAGGGGUAAAAUCCGUUGAUCCAUUGAAGACCACCAGUGGCGAAGGCGGCUUGCCAGAACGCGCUCGACGGUGAGGGAUGAAAGCUGGGGGAGCAAACCGGAUUAGAUACCCGGGUAGUCCCAGCUGUAAACGAUGCAGACUCGGUGAUGAGUUGGCUUAUUGCUAACUCAGUGCCGCAGGGAAGCCGUUAAGUUUGCCGCCUGGGGAGUACGGUCGCAAGACUGAAACUUAAAGGAAUUGGCGGGGGAGCCA
rnacentral:rRNA from 1 species